AACUUAGCAGAGAUGCUUUGGUGCCUUCGGGAACUCUGAGACAGGUGCUGCAUGGCUGUCGUCAGCUCGUGUUGUGAAAUGUUGGGUUAAGUCCCGCAACGAGCGCAACCCUUAUCCUUUGUUGCCAGCGGCUCGGCCGGGAACUCAAAGGAGACUGCCGGUGAUAAACCGGAGGAAGGUGGGGAUGACGUCAAGUCAUCAUGGCCCUUACGGCCAGGGCUACACACGUGCUACAAUGGCGCAUACAAAGAGAAGUGACCUCGCGAGAGCAAGCGGACCUCACAAAGUGCGUCGUAGUCCGGAUUGGAGUCUGCAACUCGACUCCAUGAAGUCGGAAUCGCUAGUAAUCGUAGAUCAGAAUGCUACGGUGAAUACGUUCCCGGGCCUUGUACACACCGCCCGUCACACCAUGGGAGUGGGUUGCAAAAGAAGUAGGUAGCUUAACCUUCGGGAGGGCGCUUACCACUUUGUGAUUCAUGACUGGGGUGAAGUCGUAACAAGGUAAGCGUAGCGAG
rnacentral:rRNA from 1 species